ensembl:snRNA U6 U6 spliceosomal RNA
GUGCUCAUUUCAGCAGCACAUAUACUGUAAUUGGAACAAUACAGGGAAGAUUAGCAUGGCCCCUGAGCAAGCAUAACAUGAAAAAUAUAUAUAUAUAUAUAUAUCAU